GGCCUAAUACAUGCAAGUCGAGCGGACAGAUGGGAGCUUGCUCCCUGAUGUUAGCGGCGGACGGGUGAGUAACACGUGGGUAACCUGCCUGUAAGACUGGGAUAACUCCGGGAAACCGGGGCUAAUACCGGAUGGUUGUCUGAACCGCAUGGUUCAGACAUAAAAGGUGGCUUCGGCUACCACUUACAGAUGGACCCGCGGCGCAUUAGCUAGUUGGUGAGGUAACGGCUCACCAAGGCGACGAUGCGUAGCCGACCUGAGAGGGUGAUCGGCCACACUGGGACUGAGACACGGCCCAGACUCCUACGGGAGGCAGCAGUAGGGAAUCUUCCGCAAUGGACGAAAGUCUGACGGAGCAACGCCGCGUGAGUGAUGAAGGUUUUCGGAUCGUAAAGCUCUGUUGUUAGGGAAGAACAAGUGCCGUUCAAAUAGGGCGGCACCUUGACGGUACCUAACCAGAAAGCCACGGCUAACUACGUGCCAGCAGCCGCGGUAAUACGUAGGUGGCAAGCGUUGUCCGGAAUUAUUGGGCGUAAAGGGCUCGCAGGCGGUUUCUUAAGUCUGAUGUGAAAGCCCCCGGCUCAACCGGGGAGGGUCAUUGGAAACUGGGGAACUUGAGUGCAGAAGAGGAGAGUGGAAUUCCACGUGUAGCGGUGAAAUGCGUAGAGAUGUGGAGGAACACCAGUGGCGAAGGCGACUCUCUGGUCUGUAACUGACGCUGAGGAGCGAAAGCGUGGGGAGCGAACAGGAUUAGAUACCCUGGUAGUCCACGCCGUAAACGAUGAGUGCUAGUGUUAGGGGUUUCCGCCCCUUAGUGCUGCAGCUAACGCAUUAAGCACUCCGCCUGGGGAGUACGGUCGCAAGACUGAAACUCAAAGGAAUUGACCGGGGCCCGCACAGCGUGGCGCAU
rnacentral:rRNA from 1 species